AGAGUUUGAUCCUGGCUCAGGACGAACGCUGGCGGCGUGCCUAACACAUGCAAGUCGAACGGAGAUAAGCGCUGAUGAUUUAGCUUGCUAGAGAUUCUUGUUUAUCUUAGUGGCGGACGGGUGAGUAACGCGUGAGCAACCUGCCUUUCAGAGGGGGAUAACGUCUUGAAAAGGACGCUAAUACCGCAUGAUAUUAUGGAGCCACAUGGCUCUAUAAUCAAAGGAGCAAUCUGCUGAAAGAUGGGCUCGCGG
rnacentral:rRNA from 1 species